GGACCAAGGAGUCUAACAUGUUCGCAAGUCAUUGGGACGAAAAAACCUAAAGGCGUAAUGAAAGUGAAGGUUGACCUUGCGUUGACUAAGGGAGGAUGGGUUAUAUUACGAUAUAGCCUCGCACUCCCGGGGCGUCUCAUACUCAUUACGAGUAGAGGCGCACCCAGAGCGUACACGUUGGGACCCGAAAGAUGGUGAACUAUGCCUGGUCAGGACGAAGUCAGGGGAAACCCUGAUGGAGGUCCGUAGCGAUUCUGACGUGCAAAUCGAUCGUCGGAACUGGGUAUAGGGGCGAAAGACUAAUCGAACCAUC
rnacentral:rRNA from 2 species